rnacentral:rRNA from 1 species
CUCUUCGGGGAUGAUUAAACCGGCGCACGGGUGAGUAACACGUGAGUGACCUGCCUUUUAGACUGGAACAACUUACCGAAAGGUGAGCUAAUGCCGGAUGAGUUAUAUAAGUGCAUGUUUAUAUAGGAAAAGUUGGGGAGACCUGACGCUGAAAGAUGGACUCGCGUCCCAUUAGCUAGUUGGUAGGGUAAUGGCCUACCAAGGCGACGAUGGGUAGCCGGCCUGAGAGGGUGGCCGGCCACACUGGGACUGAGACACGGCCCAGACUCCUACGGGAGGCAGCAGUGGGGAAUUUUGCGCAAUGCUCGUAAGAGUGACGCAGCGACGCCGCGUGAAUGACGAAGGCCUUCGGGUCGUAAAGUUCUUUCGACAGGGAAGAAAAUGCCUAUAAGUAACUGUGUAUGUAUUGACGGUACCUGUAUAAGCAGCCCCGGCUAACUCCGUGCCAGCAGCCGCGGUAAUACGGAGGGGGCGAGCGUUGUUCGGAGUGACUGGGCGUAAAGAGCACGUAGGCGGUGUUGUAAGUCAUUAGACAAAGACUAGAGCUCAACUUUAGUAAGGCUAGUGAUACUAUAAUACUAGAGUAUCAGAGAGGAUUGCAGAAUUCCUGGUGUAGCGGUGAAAUGCGUAGAUAUCAGGAGGAAUACCGUUAGCGAAGGCGGCAAUCUGGCUGGAAACUGACGCUGAGGUGCGAAAGCGUGGGUAGCAAACAGGAUUAGAUACCCUGGUAGUCCACGCUGUAAACGAUGGAUGCUAGGUGUUGGGCUUU